AGUUGCCUGGGACCACUUUUCACUCAACCCUCUCAAAGGAUUAGACAGGGAAAAUGAUAGUUUUGCUUCAACUUAUUUUAUUUUCAGCAGCAUUUGGAGGUGUCCGACUGCAGGUGAUUGCACCACUGGUUGAGUCCGGAGGGGAUGUCAAAAGGCCUGGGGAUUCCCUCCGCCUCACCUGCCGAGCCUCUGGAUUCACUUUCAGGAGCUAUGGAAUGCAUUGGGUGAGGCAGGCUCCUGGAAAAGGCUUGGAAUGGGUGGCAUAUAUAAGCUCAGAUUCAUCUACCAUUUAUUACUCGAAUGAAGUGAAGGGACGAUUUACCAUCUCCAGGGACAAUUCAAACAGCUUCUUGUAUCUGCAAAUGAACAACCUGAAAUCUGAGGACACGGCUGCGUAUUAUUGUGCGAGAGACACAGUGAGAGGAAGUGAAUCUGAAGGCAGGCAAAAACCUCCUUUUGAUCAUGAGACCUCCCCAUGCAAUUGAAAUGAACGAGAUUUGAGAGCAAGGCAUCUAAAUGAACAUGUGCUCUGUAGAAAUGGAAGAAUAAUUCUCCUUGUGAUGGGGAUCCUGGGAAUUGUAGUUCUGUGGAUGGGAGAUUGUGAUCUUAAUAGGGAAAG